CGCUAGCGGCGGAUGGGUGAGUAACACGUGGGCAAUCUGCCCUAAAGACUGGGAUACCACUUGGAAACAGGUGCUAAUACCGGAUAACAACAUGAAUCGCAUGAUUCAAGUUUGAAAGGCGGCGCAAGCUGUCACUUUAGGAUGAGCCCGCGGCGCAUUAGCUAGUUGGUGGGGUAAAGGCCUACCAAGGCAAUGAUGCGUAGCCGAGUUGAGAGACUGAUCGGCCACAUUGGGACUGAGACACGGCCCAAACUCCUACGGGAGGCAGCAGUAGGGAAUCUUCCACAAUGGACGCAAGUCUGAUGGAGCAACGCCGCGUGAGUGAAGAAGGUUUUCGGAUCGUAAAGCUCUGUUGUUGGUGAAGAAGGAUAGAGGCAGUAACUGGUCUUUAUUUGACGGUAAUCAACCAGAAAGUCACGGCUAACUACGUGCCAGCAGCCGCGGUAAUACGUAGGUGGCAAGCGUUGUCCGGAUUUAUUGGGCGUAAAGCGAGCGCAGGCGGAAUGAUAAGUCUGAUGUGAAAGCCCACGGCUCAACCGUGGAACUGCAUCGGAAACUGUCAUUCUUGAGUGCAGAAGAGGAGAGUGGAAUUCCAUGUGUAGCGGUGGAAUGCGUAGAUAU
rnacentral:rRNA from 1 species